UACGUAGGGUGCGAGCGUUACUCGGAAUUACUGGGCGUAAAGCGUGCGCAGGCGGUAAGUUAAGUCUGAUGUGAAAGCCCCGGGCUCAACCUGGGAAUGGCAUUGGAAACUGGCUUGCUGGAGUGUGGCAGAGGGGGGUGGAAUUCCGCGUGUAGCAGUGAAAUGCGUAGAUAUCGGAAGGAACAUCAGUGGCGAAAGCGGCUUCCUGGACCAGUACCGACGUUCAGGCACGAAAGCGUGGGGAGCAAACAGG
rnacentral:rRNA from 1 species